rnacentral:rRNA from 1 species
ACUCAAAUGAAUUGACGGGGGCCCGCACAAGCAGUGGAGCAUGUGGUUUAAUUGGAUGCUACGCCAAAAACCUUACCAAGACUUGACUUCCCCCUGAAAGCCCCUAGAAAUAAGGGCCCUCUUCGGACAGGGGAGACAGGUGGUGCAUGGUUGUCGUCAGCUCGUGCCGUGAGGUGUUGGAUUAAGUUCCGCAACGAGCGCAACCCUCGUCGUUAGUUGCCAUCACUUCGGGUGGGCACUCUAGCGAGACUGCCGGCGUCAAGCCGGAGGAAGGUGGGGAUGACGUCAAAUCAUCAUGCCCCUUACGUCUUGGGCUACACACGUGCUACAAUGGCCGGUACAACGGGCUGCCACUGCGCGAGCAGGAGCGAAUCCCUUAAAGCCGGUCUCAGUUCGGAUUGGAGGCUGCAACUCGCCUCCAUGAAGCUGGAAUUGCUAGUAACCGUGGAUCAGCAUGCCGCGGUGAAUACGUACUCGGGCCUUGUACACACCGCCCGU